rnacentral:tRNA from 1 species
GGGGGUGUAGCUCAGCUGGGAGAGCGCUUGAAUGGCAUUCAAGAGGUCAGCGGUUCGAUCCCGCUCAUCUCCACCA